UGUCUUAUGGGAGAACUUACC
rnacentral:piRNA from 1 species